UACGGAGGGUGCAAGCGUUGUUCGGAAUUACUGGGCGUAAAGCGCGUGUAGGCGGCCGAUUAAGUCUGGUGUGAAAGCCCGGGGCUCACCCCCGGAAGUGCGCUGGAAACUGGUCGGCUAGAGUAUGGGAGAGGAAAGUGGAAUUCCCGGUGUAGCGGUGAAAUGCGUAGAUAUCGAGAGGAACACCUGCGGCGAAGGCGUGUUGCUGGGCUGAUACUGACGCUGAGGCGCGA
rnacentral:rRNA from 1 species